UACAGAGGUGGCGAGCGUUGUUCGGAUUUACUGGGCGUAAAGGGUGCGUAGGUGGUUUUGUGUGUCGGAUGUGAAAGCCCAUGGCUCAACCGUGGAAUUGCAUUCGAAACUGCAGAACUAGAGUGCAGGAUGGGAGAGCGGAAUUCUUGGUGUAGCGGUGAAAUGCGUUGAUAUCAAGAAGAACACCGGUGGCGAAGGCGGCUCUCUGGAAUGCUACUGACACUGAGGCACGAAAGCUGGGGGAGCGAACAGG
rnacentral:rRNA from 1 species